rnacentral:rRNA from 1 species
UACGUAGGAGGCGAGCAUUGUCCGGAAUCACUGGGUGUAAAGCGCGCGUAGGCGGUCGGCCAAGUCUGCGGUGAAAUCGCUCGGCUCAACUGGGCGGGGUCCGUGGAAACUGGUCAACUGGAGGACGGUAGAGGCAAGUGGAAUUCCAGGUGUAGCGGUGAAAUGCGUAGAUUAUCUGGAGGAACACCGGUGGCGAAGGCGGCAUCCUGGACCGGUAUUGACGCUGAGGCGCGAAAGCUAGGGGGAGCAAACGGGG